UACAGAGGGUGCAAGCGUUGUUCGGAAUUACUGGGCGUAAAGCGUGCGCAGGCGGUUAUGCAAGACAGAUGUGAAAUCCCCGGGCUUAACCUGGGAACCGCAUUUGUGACUGCAUAGCUGGAGUACGGCAGAGGGGGAUGGAAUUCCGCGUGUAGCAGUGAAAUGCGUAGAUAUGCGGAGGAAUACCGAUGGCGAAGGCAGUCCCCUGGGCCUGUACUGACGCUCAUGCACGAAAGCGUGGGGAGCAAACAGG
rnacentral:rRNA from 1 species